rnacentral:rRNA from 1 species
CGCAGGCUGCAACCCGCCUGCGUGAAGUUGGAAUCGCUAGUAAUCGCGCAUCAGCCACGGCGCGGUGAAUACGUUCCCGGGCCUUGUACACACCGCCCGUCAAGCCAUGGAAGCCGGGAGUGCCUGAAGUGCGUGAGCGCAAGCAGCGCCCUAAGGUAAAACCGGUGACUGGGGCUAAGUCGUAACAAGGUAUC